rnacentral:rRNA from 1 species
CAGGCCUAACACAUGCAAGUCGAACGAGAAGGUUCCUUCGGGAACUGGACAGUGGCGGACGGGUGAGUAAUGCAUGGGAAUCUGCCCAGUAGUGGGGAAUAACCCGGGGAAACUCGGGCUAAUACCGCAUACGUCCUACGGGAGAAAGCGGGGGAUCUUCGGACCUCGCGCUACUGGAUGAGCCCAUGUCAGAUUAGCUUGUUGGUGGGGUAAAGGCCUACCAAGGCGACGAUCUGUAGCUGGUCUGAGAGGACGAUCAGCCACACUGGGACUGAGACACGGCCCAGACUCCUACGGGAGGCAGCAGUGGGGAAUAUUGCGCAAUGGGCGAAAGCCUGACGCAGCAACGCCGCGUGGGGGAUGAAGGCCUUCGGGUUGUAAACCCCUUUCAGCAGGGACGAAAAUGACGGUACCUGCAGAAGAAGCCCCGGCCAACUACGUGCCAGCAGCCGCGGUAACACGUAGGGGGCAAGCGUUGUCCGGAUUUAUUGGGCGUAAAGAGCUCGUAGGCAGUUGCGUAAGUCGGAUGUGAAAACUCAGGGCUCAACCCGGAGACGCCAUUCGAUACUGCGCUGACUAGAGUCCGGUAGGGG